UUCUUUCAUGACAUUCAGUUAUUCACUUUGAUAACUGGUACUUUUGUCAAUUGAUUCUAUCCGAUUUUGGAUGGUUUUGAUGAGUUAACAUGAUUGUUGUCCUUGUAUGUGUUUCAACAUGUAGGUUCACGGAUAUUAUUCUGGAGAUGUUGAUGUGAAGGCCUGCUGAAGAGGCUGCUCUCAAAGCAAUUCGAGUUAUUGGUGCCUAAAUGAGAGGGUGCUUUUGGUCCAAGCAUUAGGCUUUCACGUGUGGAUGUGGUGGUAUUAUUUAAUAGUGAUUGCAGCCCGCCGAAUGACAUAAAGCCCUUCAUAGGAUCAACAUUGAUUCACAUUAUGGGCGGGUAAAUGUUUUCCGGUUAUAUUCAGCAUUCAUUGUUGAAGAGAUAACACCGAUUCUUUCAAAGAAAGGUACAACAGUUGGCAAUUUAUCAGGAGUGUCUCCCACCGGCUGUUAGCAUGGGACACAUCCUACUUAUUCCGUAAGCUCCAAAGCUGCACCGACUCUGGACCUCAGUCGUUUAUAGAUGAUUUGGUUCACGAGUUGCCAUCUGUGUUGAGGAACAUGAGUGUUAAAAUGGGUCUCCCACGAACCACUCAAUCAUAUUAAAUGCACACAUAAUGGAGUUUAUUCUAGAAGUAUCUUCCUAUUUAGUGAAACUUACACAAAAGAAAGUUCUGUUGAUUAGUACUUGACUGUAAUGUUAUCAACUUUAUUAACUAAACUUUAUGUCAUAUGUUUGAAUUAUAAUCAUCUUAUUGUUAUUU